CAUGAAACUUCAAGGCUGGGAAAUCACCAUCCCUGGAGGUGUUCAAGGAAUGACUGGAUGUGGCACUCGGUGCUCUGAGCUGGUUGGCAAGGGACUGGUGGGCAAAAGGAGUUCCAGCCAGAGGUGUCAGCGUGGUCUGGCUUCUGUGGCAAUCCUUGGUCCCCAGUGUCUGUGCAGUGGGACAGUUCCUCUACAGCUUUUUGAGGCUGUGACGUGCUGUGGGGGCAGGAGGAUCUUCCCACUUCAGAAACGGAAGAAAAAGCAGGUAAAGGGUUUGGGCAAACAUGAAUUGGGUCUGGCAGAGGCCCAGCAGGGCUGAGCCUCCAUCCCUGACUUCCACAGUGCCAGAUUUCCCCCCCAUGGGCUACUGAGCCUUGGAGAGCCCCAAGCAGAGUUCAGAAGCAGUGGAGGCAGCUCAUGGCACAGGCUCAAGCAGGAGCAGGCUGGAGAUGGGAGCAGUGAGGAGAGGGGAUGGCAGCAAGGAACAGGGGCCAUGCUGUCCUCUCCCUUCCCUUCCCUUAGUAACAUACCCCAAAUCCUCCUGCAGAAGUUAAAAUUGACCCACAGUUCAUUCCCAUCCCUGCCUGGGAUCUCCCCAUGUCUGCAGGGAUCAUGGCAAUAUGCAUGAAAUGAAACCCAGCUAUGGAUGAGGAUCAAGAGCGAGGGGCUGCCUGCUCUGUGCCCCCCUUUUACCUACAGCUGACCCCUCACUUGGCCAUCGAUUCUGCAGGUUAUUAUAUCCCUGAAUUCCACGUUAUUGUAUCUAAAUCCUGCAGCUGAGAAGAGAUCCUGCCCUCCCUAGCCAGGGAUGCAUGCUGCGACAUCACUCAGAGAGGGAUGGGAUGAGUGGGUGCAUCCCCAUGCUCGGGAGGGAAGGGGUGAGUGCAUCCAGACGGGAAUGGGAUAAAAAUCAGUUGCACUGAAGCAGGAGGUGAUAAAAGCAGAGGGUUGGAUGUCUGGUGCGUGGGGAUACAGGCAGGGUGACUGCAGCCAGCCUGGGACUGGGUCCCACUGGGCUCUGCGGGAUCCAGGAACGAGCAGCAGCUGCUGCCGAGGGCGGCCGGAUCCAGGUUCCGUGGAGUCCUGCGGAUCUCCCCGGCCGUGGGAGGCGAUGAAGACGGACGUCUCGGCCCGGGUGCCUCCCGGCACGGCUGUUCCCCGGUGGGGGCCAGCACAGGCACCGGGGAGUCCCCAUCCCUCCGGAACGCAUCGGGGGCCGGGGGUGAACAACACUCCCGCUGCCACAGGGAGACGGCGGGGAUCCUUCCCUUCUCUUCUGCUGGCUGUAUCCUUCCCUGGAGCAGCCAGGGCGAGCUGCCCACGUCCCACCGAGCGGCCGGGAGCAUCCCGGGGCCGGGAGCAUCCCGGGGCCGGGAGCAUCCCGGGGCCGGGAGCAUCCCGGG